CCAGGAUGUGGAAGACAACCCACACCAUUUAAGUCCCCCCGCUCCCAACCUCCUGAGAGGAAGCAGAGAUUUGAACAGAGAUCUGCCACAUCUGAAAUUCUGAAACUUAGUUUUGAAGAAAAUCUGCUUUGAGAGUGAAUUUCAUCCUUCUGUGAAUGGGCCAGCAAAUGGUAGAAAGCAAUCACCAGGAGGUGCAGAGGCUGUCGAAGAUCCCAACCAAACUGCUAUGGUUCUGAUGUGCCAGGGUUGGAAGACAAAGCCUUGUGUAGCAAACCUUGGGUCCAGCUCUCCAUAGACCACCACAGAGGAGAACAGGUCAAGGGACACAUCGAGCAAAGUAACUGGAAAGAAGCAGAAUCAUCUAUUACAUAACCUUGAUUCUGGCAGAUAAGGAUCUUUACCAGCCACUGCUUGCAGAAGCUGUGGGCACAAAUUAGGACAAGCACUGGAGGGAAUAACAGCUCCCCGAACACACCAGACUGCUGAACCCUUUGAGGAAAAACCCCUCCUAAGAAUCCAGCCACAACAAUCCAUUUCCUUCACCAUCCAAGUUCUGGAACACUCCUGAAACCACUGUGACAGCAACUCCAUGGCAACAAUUUCUACUUUAACAAUCUCCUUUUAAGGUCUGAGGACCCAUUAGUGGACAAUGGACUACCUGAAGUCAAUGCUGGAUUCUUGGAUGAAGGUUCCAUUGGGGGCCAGACCACGUGUCCCCAGCCAAUUUGCAGCUACUUUUUAGCCCCUCACAUACUUUUUCUACGCAAUUGAAGCCUCCUCACCUCUCAAAAAGUCUCAUCAAUCUUCAUUCAUCAGGACACAGUGUACAUUAGCCGAGAGUUCAGACUCUCACAUUCAGUGAUUGGCCCCAAGAAGCUUGGGCAGGCCAUGUAAUUCCAAUCCCCUCUUCAGUUGAGCUCUCUACCAUCAGCCAUUAAAGCAUCACUGGCAACUGAAGAUCCCUAUUUUACCCCAGACUAACCUCAUAUUCUGGACUGGGGCUUUCCAGACAACUGAACUUCAUCAUCUUCCCUGCAGAUGUGGACUCCAGCAUCUGGCCAUUGAACAGAUCACAGUGUGUUCGUUGCCCUGGGAGGCUUCAGUCCAACCAUUCUAUCCAGAAAGAGGUUUGCUUUAAUUUAGAGCAGACCCUCUUCCAUUCAGUGAGUACAGGAGAUCUACUGUGCAGAACCACUGACAAAGGCUGAAUUUCCUCAUCACCAGCUGUAUUGAUCUAGGAGAGAACACCCAUGCUGAUGUUAGAACAGCUGCUUCCCAGCUCACAGGUUCCAUGUUCGUCCAAAAUAGAAUAUUUAUCAGGCUGGAAACAAACGUCUGGAAAUGCAUCCACGAGACCACAUGCCAUCAGGGUCCAGCGUCAUCAUUAGAAAACAACUCCUAGGAGACCUCAUAUUUGGCAAAUAUCCAUGGGAAACAUCUCCUAUAAGACCACAUACAAUCAGCCAUAGCUGAUAGAUGUUUCAUCUAUUGGAAACAUCUCCUAUGAGAUCUUGCACCAUUGGGCUAUAUUUUCAUCAGUAGAAAGCUCUCCUGUGAGACUUCGUAUCAUCGACUGCAAUAUCAUCUACUGAAAAGUUAUAUACGUUUGUUCUACUGUCAACUUCCUGGGAUUAAGGACAGUCUCCUGUUUUGUACUGCACUUAGCACAUCAUUGAAUAAAAUAAAA